rnacentral:lncRNA from 1 species
CUAGGGCCUUAUCAUUAUGGAUAACUCAAGACCAUCGAGGUCCAAAGACUACCCCCUUUUACCUAGCCAAUAGAACCCAAUAUUCCCAGAUAGCAGAAGCAACCAGUUAGUAAUAUAAAGAUAGAUAAACAAAGACAAAGAUUCUAAGAAUCAAUAAUAGAUAACCACCCAUAUUUGUCCACAUAAUCCUCUUACAAAAC